rnacentral:rRNA from 1 species
GGACCCGCACAAGUAGCGGAGCAUGUGGUUUAAUUCGAAGCAACGCGAAGAACCUUACCUAAGCUUGACAUCCCAAUGACAUCUCCUUAAUCGGAGAGUUCCCUUCAGGGACAUUGGUGACAGGUGGUGCAUGGUUGUCGUCAGCUCGUGUCGUGAGAUGUUGGGUUAAGUCCCGCAACGAGCGCAACCCUUGUCUUUAGUUGCCAUCAUUAAGUUGGGCACUCUAGAGAGACU